UGAGGACAUAUAAGACAGAUGUUCCCUGAAUGAGGCUGGGAGCAGCAAGGAUGUGCAGGCCUUGAUACAGAGAUGAGUCAAAAGCGUUGAGCAGAAGAAACCAACAAGUUGGUAACACUUUUUUCAGCACAAAGCCUAUUCGGCUGAAGAAAUCUGACAACACGUUACCUACUGGCAAUCAAUCACUUUAUCCAGUAAAAGGCCAGUCCCACUUUUGCACAGUGAGGACUUCUAGUGUAUCUUCCUAAGAUGUGUGAGGAUCUUUCCCUUGAAUGGGUACACCCCUCAAGGUUACUCCUUGAGGUUGAGCAACAGAUUUGCCCACAGUCAUUAGUAUGGCUGGAGGCAGAAGACAUGAGAAGAAAACUCUGUCAGGAUGGGUAAAUCACACAAAAUAUGUUACAGAAGUGACAGAAUUUAUAUAAGGAUCUGGAAUCUAUCUCCAGCUGGAUUAUUUUGCAAGAAAGGUAGAAAGGAGAGGCUACAGAGGGCUCCUCAAACGCUUCUUUGCAUUUCCAUUUUUGUGUAGUAAACAAAGCUGGUAUAAAAUACUGUAAAAACAUAAGUUAGGACUAAUAUUUGAAGAACUUUGGAAUAGUUAUAUGAUUUUCAAGUCAAAGCAUGCACAUAAUUCUGCAAAAUAAUAUCUGUACAAUUUAAAUAUUGUAUAUGUUUGAGAUUACAUGAAUACUUUUGAAAACCAUUUUUGUGUUGUAUCUAUUGAUAACAUGUUGGGGUUUUUUUUUUCCACUAAUAGGAACAUUUGAAAGGAAAAGAGUUGUGGAAUUUUCCAAAGGUUGAUUCAUAGUAAAAACAUAACUGACUGAAGUACUCAGGUUGCACUGUCAUAGUCAUACUUGUUUGUAAUCCAUGUCCAAUAACAAACACAUUCAGCACUGCAUAUUUUCAGUGUGGGUCUAGAAAACUGUGAUUUGGUGUUCAGAUGAUGCAUGAUCUUUUAAUCCAUGUCUUUCAAGGAGGGAAAAUUCUAAGACAGAAAGUGCUGCUUGUAGAUGAAAUAUCAUUUUUUAAAAAUCUCUAGAGGGUGGUUGAUGGCAAGUCUCUUUU